GCAAGUCGAGCGGUACAGAAAGUAGCUUGCUACUUUGCUGACGAGCGGCGGACGGGUGAGUAAUGCUUGGGAACAUGCCUUGAGGUGGGGGACAACAGUUGGAAACGACUGCUAAUACCGCAUAAUGUCUACGGACCAAAGGGGGCUUCGGCUCUCGCCUUUAGAUUGGCCCAAGUGGGAUUAGCUAGUUGGUGAGGUAAUGGCUCACCAAGGCAACGAUCCCUAGCUGGUUUGAGAGGAUGAUCAGCCACACUGGAACUGAGACACGGUCCAGACUCCUACGGGAGGCAGCAGUGGGGAAUAUUGCACAAUGGGCGAAAGCCUGAUGCAGCCAUGCCGCGUGUGUGAAGAAGGCCUUCGGGUUGUAAAGCACUUUCAGUCAGGAGGAAAGGGUGUGAGUUAAUACCUCAUAUCUGUGACGUUACUGACAGAAGAAGCACCGGCUAACUCCGUGCCAGCAGCCGCGGUAAUACGGAGGGUGCGAGCGUUAAUCGGAAUUACUGGGCGUAAAGCGUACGCAGGCGGUUUGUUAAGCGAGAUGUGAAAGCCCCGGGCUCAACCUGGGAACUGCAUUUCGAACUGGCAAACUAGAGUGUGAUAGAGGGUGGUAGAAUUUCAGGUGUAGCGGUGAAAUGCGUAGAGAUCUGAAGGAAUACCGAUGGCGAACGCAGCCACCUGGGUCAACACUGACGCUCAUGUACGAAAGCGUGGGGAGCAAACGGGAUUAGAUACCCCGGUAGUCCACGCCGUACACGAUGUCUACUAGAAGCUCGGAACCUCGGUUCUGUUUUUCAAAGCUAACGCAUUAAGUACACCGCCUGGAGAGUACGGCCGCAAGGUUAAAACUCAAAUGAAUUGACGGGGGCCCGCACAAGCGGUGGAGCAUGUGGUUUUAAUUCGAUGCAACGCGAAGAACCUUACCCUACACUUGACAUACAGAGCAUCUUACUAGAGGAUGGUGUGGUGCUUCGGGAACUCUGAAUACAGUGCUGCAUGCUGUCGUCAGCUCGUGUUGUAGAGAUGCGUUAGUCCGCCACGAGGCCACCCUAUCCUUAGUUGCUUAAGCAGUAUGCUGAAACUCUAAGAACUGCCGAUAUAACUGGAAGAACGCUCG
rnacentral:rRNA from 1 species